CUGGGGCGAAGGGGAGCGGAGGCUGCCUUCUGCGCGCGCCCGAGUCCGCGCGCCCUCCCCCUCCGGGAGGUGGGGGCUGGGAGGCACCCCCGCCCCCCGCCCCCUCCCAGCAUCGUCGGGAAGAGGAACUGGCAAGAGGUCUGUGUUGCCUGAACCCAUCAACAGCUGGGAGAUUAAUCAGCCACGCUGAAAAUGUGCGGGGGCGUUUGGGGGGGGGAGGGCUGGAAUGCAGAUGUUUGAAACAAAUGUGUAUUCAAUAAAUGAAUUGUUGAUAACUUA